GACGAACGCUGGCGGCGCGCUUAACACAUGCAAGUCGAACGGAAAGGCCUGCUUUCCCUUGUGGAUUGCGGGUACUCGAGUGGCGAACGGGUGAGUAACACGUGAGUGAUCUGCCCCCAACUUGGGUAUAAGCCUGGGAAACUGGGUCUAAUUCCCGAUAGGACUGCAGGGUGGUGCCUGUGGUGGAAAACGAUUUUCUAGUGGUUGGGGAUGAGCUCGCGGCCUAUCAGCUUGUGGGUGGGGUAAUGGCCUACCAAGGCGGCGACGGGUAGCCGGCCUGGGAGGGUGGACGGCCACAUUGGGACUGAGAUACGGCCCAGACUCCUACGGGAGGCAGCCGUGGGGAAUAUUGAACAAUGGGCGGAAGCCUGAUGCAGCGACGCCGAGUGGGGGAUGACGGCCUUCGGGUUGUAAACUCCUUUCGACCGCGAGGAAGCCACCUGGUUGGAAGGGUGGUGACGGUAGUGGUAGAAGAAGCACCGGCUAACUACGUG
rnacentral:rRNA from 1 species